UUUGUCUUUUCUUCUUCCACUUAACUCUAAAUGAGAGAUCUUAAGCAUAGUUAAAUAGGAUUCAUAAUAUCUCGCUGACUGAAAAUCAUCUUGAAAUGUGGAAUGUGAGGGCAAAAAUAGUUAUCACAUACAAAACCGUCUUCCCUCUGAAUUUCUAAAGGAAGGCAGAGGAGGACGCUGUCCCUGUGUGCGCAUUAGUAUUCCUGGUUGUGUUCGUGGAGAGAGACCACUGCGGGGCCAGAGCCACAUGGCUGCUGCAGGAAUACUUACCUGACUUUCGACCUGAAGGUAGAGAAGAGGCUGCAGAAGAGAUGCCUGUAAAGAAUCCUCUGUGUUCAUGUGGCUGCGUACUUGUGACCCGUUUGGACAUUGUUGAUUGGCCCAGGGUAGGGAGCACCGGAGCGGUGGCAGUGGUGGGAAGGCACAGCCAGCUGCACGUGCCACCUAAAUCUCUGCCUGAGGGAGGACUGGAGGCUGGAGCAAAACAUGAGGACCUGUGUGGCUGCACGAUGACCUGAAACAAGGGUGGCACCCCAGGGAGGCCUCACCUGCAUGGAGGACAGGAGAAAUCAUGAUGAGGAUUGAUCCAACAGAGUGUAGUGGCUCCCUUGGAUCUUACAGAGGCCUGCUGAGAUCUAUAGAUCUGUAUUUAAGGACUCCUAAAUAGACCUCAUGACUGGUCUGACAGACCGUGACUGCUGCAAAGGAGACACGGCCAGGCAUGCUGUAAAUCUGUUGCAGACCUCGGGUAGCUGAGCAUCACGUUGGAGGCUGCCCCAUGUGCACACCACAGCCAGGAGCUGGAAGGGCUCAGCCUGUGAGAGAACGCUCAGCUGAAACCUGUCCAGCCGUGUUCAUGUUCAUCAGCUGCUGUCGGUCUGCGCUGGGCUGUGCAGGAGCCCUGCACUGAGCACUGGGGGUGCGUGUGUCAAAGCUGUAGAACACGUGCGUAAACCCACAGAGUGCUGGGAGCCAUAGAAAAGAUUGGUAAAACAUGCAUAAAGAGAGGAGGCUGAUGAUCUACAGGAUUUUCUUUGUUGAAGCAACCACAGCCCAGAGCCUGGUCUGUUAAAACAGCCCUACAGGUUUGUCAGACUUCAAAUGUAGGCUGUAGGCACAGCAGCUCCUGUGCAAACCAAUGGCUGUUGCUACCCUGUGCCUGUGGGCAGAUCGGAGCAGUGAGCAACUGGAAUCCAGCUGGAGGAAGGUGGUUAAAGGCUGAGUGGCUCAUUGGAUCUAAGGAGACUGCUGCUCAUGGGAGUGUUGGCUCUUAAGAAAUUGGCAGGCUUUGCAAUUCCCUCUUGUUGGGAAAACUAUGUCAUUGAUACAAUUUGGACUCUCUUCUGGCGAGUGGUAGUAGCAGCUGAUGUUAAACUUUGAGCAACCACUGGCUUUGCUGAUGUGUCUGGUAACAGAAACAACUAAGAGUUGUAAUGCAAACAAUUAAAGAUCUUUCUAAUCUUUAACUCAUGUCUCAGCAUCCGCUGGAUCUGACCAUAAGGAACAUCUAAAAGAUGAGAAACAAACGGACCAAGCUUCUCAGCCUGGAAUGUCAUCUUCAUCUGUGAAUCAGAAUUUGGACCUGCUGCUGAUGAGUUGGAAAAGCAAUUGUGGCAUGAACAAUGAGACUUUGGGUUGACAGCCUAGGGGAGCUAUUCGGCAGCUUCACAGACAGGCUUCCCAGUGUAAAUGAAGAUGAGAAAGUGCAUGAAAAAUCGAUUGCGCACUAGAGACAACACUUACUUCAUUAACUACCUUCAGCACUAACCUCUUGAACACUAUGGCAGCAGAGGGGCACUCUGACAAAAUGGCAUCUGAUAUGGAAGCAUGUAUGAAGGAAAGGAGUGUCAUCAAAUUCCUCUGUGUGGAGAUAACUGCACCUACUGACAUUCAUCGAUGCUUGCUGAAUGCUUGUGGAGACCAAACAGUAGAUGUGAGCACAGU